rnacentral:lncRNA from 1 species
CUGCUCACCCGGUCUCAGUGCUCCUUAGAAGGGUUGUGGAAGCACAUCUGUGCAGAGAAAGAACUUUAACAGGACACCGGUGAGUUCUAUUAAUCUCUCCCGGUGAACAUUCCAAAUCAGAACUCACCAGCGAGUGUCUGUAAAGGGGGAUGACGCAGCAAGGACCUGCCUUAGGGGUGUGCAAACUGUGCGGCCGCACAGGGUGCCAUGGAGCAGGGUCUCACACAUGGCUGGGUUGCAGGGGGAGGGUGGAGGGAGCUAGAGCUAUUUUAUUAUUCUCCACCCUGGUCUAUGUGAAAAACACAAACGGGCAGGGAUUACCUGUGUGUGUGUGACUGUCUGCCUGUGUGUGAGAUUGUUUGUGUGUGACUGUAACUUUGUCUGUGUGUGUGAUUGCAACUGUGUGUGCGUGUGUGUGUGUGACUCUCUGCCUGUAACUGUGUAUGUGUGUGUGAGAGUGUCUGCCGGUAACUGAGCGUGUGUGAUUACUUGUAACUGUGUGUGGUUGUGACUCUUUGCCUGUAACUAAGCAUGUGCGACUGUCUACCUGUACCCUUUGUGUGACUGUCUGCCUGUGUGUGAGACUGUUUGUCCGUGUGUGACUGUAACUUUGCCUGUGUGUGUGUUUGCAAGUGUGUGUGUGACUGUCUGUUUGUAACUGUGUGUGUGGUUUUGACUGUUUGCCUGUAACUGAGCAUGUGUGACUGUCUACCUGUAACUGAGCAUGUGUGACAAAGUUAGUCUGCCACUCUGUAAUGCAUGGGAAGCAGUCUGGCACCUCUGGCCUGCACUUCUGCUAGCUGCAGAUCAUAAGUAGCUGCCUGUGUGUGUGUGGCUGUCUAUGUGUGUGUGUGUGUGUGUGUGACUGUAACUUUGCGUGUGUGUGUGUGUGUGACUGUGUGCUUGUAACUGAGCAGCCUGGCACCUUUGGACUGCACUUCUGCUAGCUGCAACCAUACGUAGCUGUCUUCCUAGCUCUGGCCAAUCAGUGUGUUGCUGUGGAUUAUUACAGGCAAGUUUUGACACUGUAAAUGCCUAAGCUAACGAGGCAGUUACUCAUAGUCUGCACCCGGUGAAGGGGCAAACCAGGUUCCCAGCACACUGGAACACCAUAGAUCAGUAUUCCACCUCUCACUGCAAGGUAACAACUGGGAAGGGAGAAUGAAUAUUUUAAAAUGUUUAUUAAUGUAAUAAAUCACCUAUACAAACACACAUACAUGGAUGAAGGUGUAUGACGGGUCAGGCGCUGUGAAGAUUUUUUUUUUUUGCACAUUGUGCCUAAUGCCCCUGCUCGCAGCGAUACGUUCGUCAGACUGUAAUACCACAUGCAUGCUUUAACUGCUGCACUGCCAAGCAUAGAUUUCAUUUAUUUUCUGUUGUGCUCAGUUCUGCAACUCUAGAAGCUGUGUAAUGCAUUGAUGUGGUAUUUCUCGUCACGGAUGUCACAGAGUAUAGGAGGCCUAGGUGCUUAGUAAAAUCAGACAUCCACUACAAUUGUCCUUCACAGAAAUAUUCACAAAUAGAAGCUCAUGUGCACACAAUACAUUUUAGAUUUGCUCCAUAUGAAUAAUUUUUAGGUUUGCUCCAUAAAACCAUUAUUUUUUUGUCUUGUAUUCUGUGUUUCCACUGUUUCCCUUUUUGUUCAUUAUGGUUCCUUUGAAAUGUCCUGCAACUGUUUUGUUUUUCCUGUAAAUCAUUUUUUUUUUUUUGGGGGUGGGGGGGGUCAUUACUGGUAAAAUUACAGGCAUACAACUUGCUUACAUUCAACAGUCAAAUAGGCAUGCCAUACACAAUAAACAGUGUUCAAUCAAGUGCAAUGGCUUUCAUCUUGAGUCUCCAUCCCACACCUAAUUUAUUUCAGUGGUGUAGUAAACGGUUAUAUAAUAACAAUCCAAUGUAACUAUUGCCUCAGACCACUUAACUUAUUGCCAUUUUAUUUUGAAAACCUAUAUUUGUGAUAAAAAGUUUUAAACUGAAACCUAAAUAGAUAUAUAAUUAACCUGCACAAAAACAGAAGGGGGAGGGGUGUAAACCAUUAAGCUACCCAGGGCCGUCUUUAAUUUAGAUUGGACCCUGGGCGAGCAUUUACUUGGGCCCCCUGACUACGUCUAGAUACACACAAAUACACUACCUGACACACAUGCAGAUACACACUGACCACAUAUAGAAACACACAAGAACAUACAGAUACACACAGACUACAUAUAGAUACACUGACACACACACAUACAAACACUGACAUACAUGCAGAUACAAAGGUACACACACUGACUACUUAUAGAUACACCGACACACACACUGACAGACAGACACACAGAUACACACAUGCAGAUAUACAGAUACAAACACUGACACAUACAGAUACACACACAAAUACAAAUGGACAACAUACAGAUACAGAGACACAUUCUGACAGACGUACUGGCACAGACUCACACACAGAAAACCAUACUGAAACACACAUACACAAAGACAUACUGAACCACACAGACACUGAUGGACUCUCACACACACAGACAUACAGAUACACUGACAGACGUACUGGCACAUAUACACACAGACAGACGGACAUACUGAAACACACAUACACACAGACAUUGACAGACAUAUUGACAAACACAGACAUACAGAACCACACUGACAGACUCACACAUAGACAUACUGACAGACAUACACACAUUCUGGCACACACACACAGACAGACUGAAACACACAGACACAGACACUGACAGAUAUACACACAUACAGAUAUUUUGAAACUCACAGACAGCCAUACUGAAACACACAGACACUGACAGACUCACACAGACAUACUGGCACACAGACAGACAUUCUGGCACACAGACAGACAUUCUGGCACACAGACAGACAUUCUGGCACACAGACAGACAGACAUUCUGGCACACAGACAGACAGACAUUCUGGCACACAGACAGACAUGCUGAAACACACAUACCCACAGACACUGACAGACAAACACACAUCCAGACAUUUUGACAUACACAGACAGCCAUACUGAAACACACAUACACACUGAACCACAGACACUGACAGACUCACACACAGACAUACUGACACACUGACAGACAUACACACAUACAGACAUACUGAACCACACAGACACUGACAGACACACACACAGACAUACAGAUACACUGACAGACUUUGAUAACCACCCUCCAGUUUCUUACCUUGUCCUGGAGGGUGGCUUCCCUGGGGUCCAGUGGGCUGGCUGGGGUGGCUGGGAGUUAAGCUCUCCCGGCCUGGCCCCCUCCGGAACAGCUGGUCCGCCUUCCUCCCGCGCGGCUCCAGUUUCUGUGGGAGGAAGUGACGCACGGCUGUCACUUCCUCCCACUGCUGCCGAAAAGCAAGGACCCGGUCGCGCUGUUAAAGCGCCACAGCGCCCGACCGGGCCCCUGCUGACACAGUCCCACCGGGUGGCCCUAAGUGCAUGGGCCACCCGAUGGGCCCCCAUAGUUUGCGGGCAGAGGGCAAACAGGGCAGUUACCUCGGGCCCCCCAGCAGGGACAGGGCCCGGGGCAGCUGCCCCGUUUGCCCCGCGUUAAAGACGGCCCUGAAGCUACCAGGAUAAAUCGUUGACCUGUAGCCCAAGGAGCAGCAAAGCUAAGGAAAUGGGCCUUGACAGAGCUAGGAGGCAGGCAUAUAAGCUAAGGAGUGGGGGGAGGUUUCAUAUAAUAGCGGACAUUUUAGAUUAGGGGCCAUUUUAAUCAUCCAUACUUGCCUGUGGUUGUAUGCUGCAGGUUUGCGUGGUGUUUGCUUUGUCUUUCACUGUCACUGGGGCAGACUGGCAGGAAUGAUAAGGGCAGAUCUAGGAGCAGCAGGCGUUCCAGGCACAGGACCGAAGGCAGACUGCGCAGCGUUGAUAGGGAUUCCUGGGGUGAGCGGCCAGGACGACAGCGGCCUUCCUCUUCUGCUUCAUUCCAGAAGGGUAGGGGGAGUGCUUCCAGGUCCGACAGCGGGAGCCCCUUGGAUAGGAGAUACACUCAAGAGUCAGUAGGUUGUGAUGGCCGUAAGGUUCAGGAUGACAGGCAAGGCAGGAGAGAUUUGAGGCGGGGAUCUUGCUUGGAGGAUGUGGAUGGCCUACCCAGUUUCUCUUCUCCUUUCUCUUCUUUGUCAUGUUCUCCCACGGACCAGGCAUGGGUCCAGGAAGCAGGUCCCAGAAUGUUGGCAUUUAUUCCUGGGACCCUCCGCUACCCAAUCUUUGUAUUUCUCAAUUGGGGGUUGUUCUUAAGAAGGAGCCUGGGAGGUACUGUCUCUUACAUCAUCUUUCCUACCCAAAAGGGUCAUCAGUGAAUAAUGACAUUGAUGCUGCCUUAUGCUCAGUGUCCUACUGUGGCAUUACUUGCCUCCAACAAGCAGUGCAGACCCUGUGCCUCCAAAAAGUGAUCUUCUUCAUGGACAACAUGUCACUGGUAUCUGCGGUUAAUCUGUUAUCUGCCUCUUCCAUGCCAGUUAUUCGUUUGUUGCAGCGUUUUGUAUUGCUUUGCAUGCAGCUUAAUAUUGUUUUUCGGGCACGUCAUGUGCCUGGUUUCUUGAAUAUCAUUGCCGAUGUGCUUUCUCGUGGGAGAGGUUUCGAGCGGCGGCUCCCGGAGCGCGGAAGAAGGGUCAGGCCUGCCCAGUUGACGUGUGGUAACUCGGGACAUCCUGUUUAUAUGAUUGAUCAAAGAGUCUUUGGCUCCUAGUACUUGGUUGCCAUAUGUCAAGGUGUUGAGGACAUAAGAUGAGUCACAUGUGUGUGGUGGGGGACACCACUUAGCUGAGGUAUGGUUGGAUAUGCUGUUAUGGUACUUGUGUAGAUUGUUCUCUAUCUAUGCUUCGUCUUCGGUGGUAGAUAGGCAUAUGGCGGUGUUAGCCUUUUUGUUCAAGUUAAAUGGUUGGGAGGACUUCACCAAGAAUUUUCUAGUUCAUCAAACAUUGAAAAGUUUUCGUAAGGGUAAGAGAACACCAGACACCCGUUGGCCGGUGUCUUUUGACCUUUUACACAGUUUAAUAGGGGUGCUACCAGAUUUCUGUUUCUCCCACAAUGAGGUUUUAUUGUUCAUGAUUGCUUUUGUUUGGGCAUUCCUUGCAGCUUUUCAGUUAGUUAGUGGGAAGGUGGUAAUCCGUGAGGUUCCAGUCGUAAAUUAGACUGGACCAUUUGGUUUAAAUUUGGGUUGGUAUAUUUAUCUGCUUGUCUAUGGUAACAUGUUGUCUUUCUUUUGUAGGCCGGGUCGCCUGGUUGGUGGGCCACUCAUACAUCCAUUGGGCGCAAGAGAGAGCCGCAGUUGCACAUUAUGGAGAACAGCUGGGCUUUCCACAGUCUUUGUUACAACUGCGUAGGUUUGGUUUUCAAGGGUUUAGUUGGAGGGAAAUUUCUUUUAAGAUUUUCAGGCUGCUAGGUUCCGGACAGUUACCAGAUUUUCUUUUAAUCCACGCUGGGAGGAAUGAUUUAGGUCAAGUGCCUCAGAGGGACUUGGUGCAAUGUAUGAAGCGUGAUCUGGAUAGGUUGAAGGGUCUUGCUCCGGGUGUAGUGAUAAUUUGGUCAGAGAUGGUGCCCCGUUUGCAUUGGCGUCAUGCUCUUGAUCCUGUGGCAGUGACCAAGUGUCGAGGGAAGAUUAACAAGCUGUUGUCCGUUUUCGUUAGAUGUAUGGGGGGAGUAGUUGUACGGCACUGUAAGUUAGACACCAUGCUUACUGGUUAUUUUAGGCAUGAUGGGGUGCACCUUUCCGACAUAGGGAACGAUUUCUUUAAUAUGGGUUUUCAGGAAGGCUUGCAGCGUGCAUUGGUUUUGCGGGCUUGGGGCGCUCAGGUGUCUUGAAAAGUCAAGCUCUGAGCUGGGGCAGGCCUGGAUUAGAAAUUGGGGGUAGGUAGGAUUGCUAGCUGGUAUGUUUGAAGUUCGGUAACAAAAUUCACAUGGUUUAAUUUAGUAGGUUGGAGCCCAUUGGUGGUUUUCAAACUGGAGGUGUAUGGGGUAUCUCGGUAUACCCAUACAAUGUUAAAUCCUUUGGAAUAAGACCUCCUGUUGUGGCUGUGUUUUGUGUUCUGUUAUUCAUAUAUUGUCAUUUCCAGUGGGUAUCGUACUGCUAAAGGUGGGGGUGUAUAUUAUUUAUUUAUAAAAUAUUUUUCCAGGAAAGAUACAGUGAGAUUUCUCUUGUUUUCAAAUUCAAAUAUGUCCUAGGUAUAUGUGUCUAUGUUAAAAUUGUGUAGGUUUAGCAAAGACUUUUGGAUAUAUAUAUAUGUGUGUGUGUGUAUGUGUAUAUAUAUAUAUAUAUAUAUAUAUAUAUAUAUAUAUAUGUACACACAGUGAGGGGGAAAAAGUAUUAGAUCUCCCAUUGAUUUUGAACGUUUGUCCACUGACAAAGAAAUGAUCAGUCUAUAAUUGUAAUGGUAGGUGUAUUUUAACAGUGAGAGACAGAAUAAAAAAAUCCAGAAAACGCGUGUUAAAAAAGUUAUAAAUUGAUUUGCAUGUCAAUGAGUGAAAUAAGUAUUUGAUCCCUUAUCAAUUAGCAAGAUUUCUGGCUCCCAUGUGUCUUUUAUACAGGUAACAAGAUGAGAUUAGGAGCACUCUCUUAAAGGGAGUGCUCCUUAUGUCAGCUUGUUACCUGUGUAAAAGACACCUGUCCACAGAAGCAAUCAAUCAAUCAGAUUCCAAACUCUCCACCAUGGCCAAGUCCAAAGAGCUAUCGAAGGAUGUCAGGGACAAGAUUGUAGACCUACACAAGGCUGGAAUGGACUACAAGACCAUCGCCAAGCAGCUUGGUGAGAAGGUGACAACAGUUGGUGCGAUUAAUCGUAAAUGGAAGAAACACAAAAUAACUGUCAGUCUCCCUCGGUCUGUUGUUCCAUCCAAGAUCUUGCCUCGUUGAGUUUCAAUGAUCAUGAGAAUGGUGAGGAAUCAGCCAAGAGCUACACGGGAGGAUCUUGUUAAUGAUUUCAAGGCAGCUGGGACCAUAGUCCCCAAGAAAACAAUUGGUAACACACUAUACCGUGAAGGACUGAAAUUCUGCAGCACGCGCAAGGUCCCCUGCUCAAGAAAGCACAUGUACCUGUGUGAGGUUUCCCAAUGAACAUCUGAAUGAUUCAGAGAAGAACUGGGUGAAAGUGUUGUGGUCUGAUGAGACUAAAAAUGAGCUCUUUGGCAAUUACACCACAUCAAAGGUUGAGAACCUCCUUCCCUCAGCAAGUGCAUUGAAAAUGGGUCGUGGAUGGUUAUUCCAACAUGACAAUGACCCAAAACACACAGCCAAGGCAACAAAGGAGUGGAUCAAAAAGGAGGGGCCUAGCCAGUCUCCAGACCUUAAUCCAUAGAAAAAUCUGUGGAGGGAGCUGAAGAUCGAGUUGCCAAACGCCCGCCUCGAAACCAUAAUGACUUGUAGAUGUGUGCAAACGUCUGACCUCUGUGAUUGCCAACAAGGGUUUUGCCACCAAGUACUAAGUUGAAGGGGUCAAAUAUUUAUUUUUCUCAUUUACAUGUAAAUCAAUUUAUAACUUUUUUGAAAUGCAUAUUUUGGGAUUUUUUGGGUUAUUCUGUCUGACUGUUAAAAUACACCUACCAUUACACCUACAACUUAUAUAUCUGCUAUCUCCUCAAUUGACACCCUAAUACGCCAACACUGCACAGUGUCCUACUCAGAUUUACAAAAAGAAUACAACCUACCAAACUCUUUUUUGUUUCCAUAUCUACAAAUUAAGAGCAUUAUCCCAACUCAUCUAUACACCAGGUCUGAAAUGCCCCCCCCCCCCUAUUUACUAAAGCAAACAUAAUUCAUAAAGGUGCCAUAAAACUAAAUUAUCAGCCUGCUACAAAACCAUCAUGUAAGGGAUCCCACGUAAACCACCUACUUAUAUGACCCAAUGAGCCACAGAAACUACUGUUGCCCUGACCAAAACAGAAUGGAUUUCCUCUAACGUCUUAAUUGAGGCGCACAGGAAACUUAUAUAUAGAUGGUAUCUGACACCUAGCAGACUCCAUAAAAUAUUCUCAAAUGUGCCUUGUUCAUGCUGGAGGUGUGGUGAGUAUGAGGGACAUAUGACACACGUAUGGUGACGCUGUAAAGCACUUAAGCUGCUAUGGGACGCAGUUAACAAACUCUUACAACCCGUUGUUGCUAGAAACCUACCUACCAAAUUCAGACAACUAGUAAUGCUCACUAUAUUAGCAGCUAGGAAUCUAAUAGCCCUCCACUUGAAGCAACAAAUAUGCCCAUACAAAUUUCAGCUAAUAGACCAGCUUAACCAAUAUUAUAUGUAUGAGAGGAUGUCCCUCACAUCCGAAAAACAUACCGAAACCUUCAAUACCUUGUGGCAACCAUGGCUAGAAAACUUUAAUAGUGAACAAUGUGACUAGACUCGAUAUACUGUAUAAAUAUAUAUGAAUACUGUAAAUGUUGUAUACCAUAUGUUAAAUAUGCUUAUUUGCAAUACCUCUCCAACCCCUCCCUUUUUUCCUUUCUGUACCCUCAACCCUUUUUAUCAAAAAAUAAAUAAAAACCUUUAACCCCUUACAGACACAUGAUAUGUGUGACAUGUCAUGAUUCCCUUUUAUUCUAGAAGUUUGGUCCUUAAGGGGUUAAAUUGUAAAAAAAUGUAUAGUGUUGUUUAUUGUAUUAAACAAAAUCAAAGCAAAUGAAGUACAUACAGAAAAGUCCAGGUGGUUCACAGUCCAAAACGCGUUUCGUCGGUUAGACCCAACUUUCUCAAUUGGUAUCUGCACUGCUGCCAUUUUAAAUCUUAAAUACCCCUAAAUACCCCCGCAGAUACCAGGUCGGCGGUCACGAUCCACUGCCCAAUCCGGCAGUCCCGCACCAUGUGAUUGCAGAAUCCUUGCGAUGACAUGGCCAGAAUAGCUGACUUAUGCAGUGCCUGCAGGGAGACUGCCUGAACUCCCAGGCUGUCCACCUCAUGCCUGCAAAAAAAAUAAUGAAUUAAUAAUAGUUGUUAAAAAGUUUAAUAACGUAAAUAAAAGUACUUAGAUCAUAUAUCUAAGUACUUUUAUGAGCAGAUACAUAAACUAUUAUUCUUAGUGUAUUUUAAUAUUAAAAUACACUUAGAAUGAUGUUUAUAUAUAUAUAUAACAAUAAUCAAUAAAUAUCAAUAAUAAUCAAUAAUAUAUAUUUUUUUAAAGGAUAUACCGGUUUAAAUUUGUUCUAACUAUUUUGAUAUUAUACCUAUAUUAAAUUCAAUAUACAUUUAAAAUGAUAUUCUAGAUACAUGUAUGUAUAUAUAUAUAUGUAAAUAUAUAUAUAUAUUUAUAGUUAUAUAUAAAAAAAAUAAAAAUCUUAUAUAUACAUAUAUAUUUUAAUUCUACAAAUAUGUUUAUAUAUUUUCACAUAAUUAAGUAAUUGUAUUAAUUACAAUCUGAGGGACCUGCCCAACAACCCAGGCAGAAAGUCCAGAGAAUUUCCCUCGCAAGCCCUAUAUUUAACCCUGCAACUUUCCAUGACACCAUAAAACCUGUACAUGGCAGGUACUGAACACAAAUAUUAGUGUUUAAAAACAGUAAGACACAUCACAACUAGAUAACGUAAUUUUUUUUGCAUUUUUCACACACAAACUACUUUCACUGACGAUAUUGUUGUAAUAUGUUUUACUAUUUUGAAACACUAAUAUUUGUGUUCAGGGAAGUCUCCCUAGUAUAACAGUGCCCCCCAUGCACAGGUGUUAUAGUGUUUUCAAAAGUUACUGAGUCAAAUAUAAGGCUUGAAUUUCCUUUUUUUCACAUUGAAAUUUGGCAGAUUUGUUAUGUUGCCUUUGAGAGCGUAUGGUAGCCCAGGAAUGAGAAUUACCCCCAUGAUGGCAUACCAUUUGCAAAAGUAGACAAAAGGUAUUGCAAAUGAGGUAUGUCCAUUCUUUUUUUUUUUUUUUAGUAGCCACUUAGUCACAAACACCUGCCAAAAUUAGCGUUCAAUUUCGCUUUUUGCAAUUUUCACACACAAACAAAUAUGAAUGCUAACUUUGGCCAGUGUUUGUGACGUAGUGACUACUAAAAAAGACUGGAUAUGUCCCAUAUUGAAUACCCUGGGUUGUCUACUUUAAAAAAAAUAUGUACAUAUGAGGUGUGAUUCAGAGAUUUAUGACAGAUAAUAGUGUUACAAUGUCACUAUUGAUAAAUUUUAAAAAUAUAUAUUUUGAAACAGCAAUUUCCUACUUGUACUUAUAGCCCUAUAACUUGCAAAAAAAGCUCAUAAACACUGGCUGUUUUUAAACUCAGGACAACAUUUUGAAGCUAUUUAGCAGUUUUUGUCAUUAGCUUUCAUAGGUAAGUAAAAGAUUUUUCAAGUAAAUGUAAAAAAAAAAUGUCUGUUUUUCAAUUUUUCACCAUAUUUUAUUAUUGUUAAAAAAGGUAAAUUAUAUGACAUGAUACAAAUAAUGGUAUGUAAAGAAAGCCCCUUUUGUCCUGAAAAAAAACAAUAUAUAAUUUGUAUGGGAACAGUAACUGAGAGAGAGGAAAAUUACAGCCAAACACAAACACCACAAAAGUGUUAAAACAGCUCUGGUCCUUAACAUACAACAUGUCCAAAACAGUCUGGUCCUGAAGGGGUUAAAACAUUCCAGGUUUUGUUUUGCUCACAACUUGCACAAUUGGCUCAGUCCUUAAGGGGUUAACUGUGUUUGAUUCUUUUAGUCACUAACAUGUUUGUUUUUCUAUAUAAUUUAGGUCAAUAGGCGGUUUCUUUCCAAGGUCCAUUAACUUAUCUUGGCACAUAGUAGUGCUCCAUUCAUAAAUAUUCCCAAUGUAGCAUUUACGGUAAUGGUUUUAAUGAUACCCUCCGCCUUGGGAAUGGAUACGUUUUAGUAAUAGAAAAUAGUCUAUUUUACAAAUUCAUUAUGAUCUGCACACUUUUUACAUCAUUACUCUAAUACAUUUCCUUUAUUUACACAUUCACCUCCUCGAUGAACAUCACUUAUCCCUUUUCUCCCCACGUUCUAUUGUACAUUUAAACUGAGUUUACAAUAUAUAUUUAUAUUGUACUUUUAGUGCAAACAUAUUACUUUAUGCGAAAAAACAUAUAUUUUUAAAGUAUUGAUUUUAUUUAGCCUGAAUCAUGCUUACUGCUGUUCUCCAUCUCUACCCAUGAUUAAGAAAUGUAUUUUUUGUUCUCGUGCUAAACUCUGUCCAUAUAAAGUUCUUCUGGUGCUGCUUUGUUCUUUCUUGCAUCUUAUCUACUUAUUGUUGUUUCUUCUAUUGUAAUCUUUAGACCUGUGUAUGGCAAAGAAAUUCUGUUUGUCUGAAUUAACUCCUCUCGAAAAAAUGUUUAGUUUGGACAGACACAAUUUCAUCUAUGGCAUUUCAGUUUGGAUGAAUUUAGUCUGCGUAAUCAUUUCGGGAAAACUAUUUGUACGACCCAAAAUGGCGCUAAAAUGUGGUUCAAAGAUCACAUGAGAAAACAGGACCAAUAGAGCCAAAAAAAGAGGAAAAUAUAUCUAUAUUUAUUUAAAAAUAUGUAAUAUAUAUAUAGAUUUUAAUUUUAAUUUUUUUUAUUGCUCCUGCUAUUAUCCAGUAUUGGUCACUACACACUUGAUCUGUGAAUAAAAUGAACAUUUCGUGGCUGCCCCCUAGACAUCAAAUUAUGAUUUAUUUUUUAUGCGCAUUGAUGGAAGUCUGAAUUAUGAAGCAAACUAAACAUCACAUCUAUUGCCCUUUUCAUUUAUUUUGUGAUUUGGCCAGAUGAUGGUUCUAAGUCAGGAAAUCAGCGGAAUUGCUAAUCGACCAAUAUUCAGACAAAUUAUGAUUCAUUUGAAACUGAACACAAGUCUGAUAGUCUUCAGUUACUCAGGCUAGCUUUACUGGGGCUAUUUGUCUUCACUCCCCUUCCUCCUACUGUAUAAGGUAUUUUGCUAGUCUUCCUUGCAUCUUGGUGGUCCUUUACUGGUCCUGUCUUUUCUGCUGCAUUCUGUUUUCUUACUUUCUCCUUCCAGUUCAUCACUUCUUUCUAUAGUAGUUAAUGUAUAGGAAAUGUGGUUGAGACGGUUUACUGAAGGUUACCUAUGACAUUUAUCAGUUUCGAGACUUAAGACUCCACUGUAGAUCUGUAGACUAUUUUGCCAAUUAGAAAACAUCUUGCCACCUAAUAGGAAUAGUGUUACCUGGCCCCUUUCCACAUGCACAUUAACCUGAAAACCAAAAUAUUUUUAAACAGUUUGAUACAAAUAGAUGGUCCACUCAUUUGACAUAUCGCUAUUAUGUAAGUUUAUACAUUAACAAUAUCUAAUUUGCCCAGUUUUGAUGGAAUUUAUUGGCUGAAUAUGUAAGCUAUCUUGCGUAGCUGAUGAAUGCCAUCUAAAUAGUGACAUAACUGAUAAUGUGGAAGUGAUGAAGCACUAUACCAAUAGAGAACAUUUGCUGUGGAUCAUAAUCCUCUAUAUUACAUGGGAAUUAUCCUGAUGCAAUUUAGUUUUUAUCAUACGAUAUCCUCCUUUUAAUCUAUGUUUAGAGUAAUCCAGUUCAUACUCAUUAGACUUUGAAGAUUGGAUAGGCAGAUUGGUUAGACAGUCCUUAAUCAUAUGUUCUCUUAAAUAUGCAUUUUGGCCAGCUGUUUUCAAGAAGGAUCUUAUGGAACUAGAAGUAGUGCAGAGGUCAAAAUGAAAAAGAGGAAUGGAAUAUUUUAUUGAUGAAAGGACGACUGGAAGAUAUGAACUUAUUUUCUUUUAAAAAUGGCAAAUUAGAGGAUUUGUGUUUUACGUUUUGAUUUGGUCUACAAUUUUUGAUUUUCAAUUUGCAGAAAUUAAUUUCAAUGUUGAUUCGGGUUUGUUAUUUUCGUUAGUUAAAUAAAUUUUGGGCACCUAUUAAUCCCAAUAGAAAAUUAAUAAUCCAUAAAGCGGGCAGUCUUUUACUAGUUUACCGACAGAUAUUCAUUUUCGGAUUAAAUUAGCAUAACUGAAUUUUCAUUAUGUUUUCAGUGUGCCCAAAAACAAAUACAUAUGUUUAUUCAUUAUUAGUCCCAUACAAAAGAGAAGAGGUGACCCAUUUAUACCUGAAAAUAGAUUUUACCCACAGCAGAAUAAAGAGUAUUCAGAGUAUUCACAGUUAAAACAAUAAAAAUAUUUAAUUCUCUGCUUAAAUAUGUUGUUUUACCAGAUUCUGAACAGAUGUUUAAGCAUUCUGGAUGCAUUUUUGGAAUAUUCAAGGAUAUACUAAUUUAUAUACCUCUAGAAUGUAAGCUCACUUGAGCAGUGUUACCAAUUGUAAUUUAAAAAAAAAUGGUUUCUUACUAAUUUUCUAAUCUCCACAUUCAACAUUUUAAUAUGUUGUGAUUUUUUUUUUAUUUUUAUAAAUGCCAAUAAUGAAUAUAUUAAUAGAGAGGUAACAGUUAAUUGAUUCACAGAAAAAUCUAAUUGCCAAUUUUGAGUGAAGAAGGAUUUUUUCCCAAAUUGUUUAUAAAUUUUAAAUUGCUUCACUCCCCCCCCCCUUCUUUUGAAUCACCAACUGUAUUAUAGCUAUGUGAAAGAAUGAACUUGAUUUUAGUCCUUAAGAAAAUUUCCUUAUGAAGUCCAGCAUGUUCCUUUCUUCAUUUAUAUAUAGAAUGUGCAAUGAAAGAUAAACUGAGAAAACACAAUUAUAAAAAAGGUAGAAAACAUACUAAAUGAAAAAAGACUACUAUUACUAAUAACUAUAUAAUCAUCAUCAUAGGUAAAACAGUUCCAAUGGAACUAUGGGAAAGAAAUAAAAAAAACUAAGGUUUUAAAUGCAAAAUAGACCAGUGGAAAAAUGUCAUUGUUCUCUACUUAAUGUAAGAUUAUGUUAACCUUUCUGCAUACAGGUCUACUCCAUUCACAAUUAUAUGACUUCCGAAGACAGUUGGUUUAUUUAAUGGUGUCACAUCAACAUAGGUCCAAUCAAAGCUUUUCAUUUUAUUAUGUUUAAAUUGCAUACUAAAAUACAUUGAUGUACCCCUUUUUGAUAUUAUGGACUAAUUUAUUUAAGUGACAGGCACAUUUUUUAAACAAAUUUUAUUCAAGGUCAAAAGCAAUACAGAAAAAAACAAUGUUAUCAAAUGGCAUCAUAUAACAAAGAUUGGAUCCAUAUUUAAAAAGCAUGUCUUAACAAUGUUAUCAAAUGGCAUCAUAUAACAAAGAUUGGAUCCAUAUUUAAAAAGCAUGUCUUAACAUUAGAAUAUUCAACACCAUAUAACAAUUUACAGAGAAAUGCCCCCCAAAUAUUUCAAUAAAUUAUAUAAAAUUAGAGUUUAACUGAGUAACUUAAACUACGGAGGACUUAAAAUAGACAUUGAAAAGAGGAGGAUUGAAUUUUGGAAAGGAAAUAAGUGAGUAGAGAUGAAGAGGAACUGGGGACAUCCUUGAUCCAGUGAGGGUGGUCAGGAAUUCCACAUGUGCAUAAUGCAUAAUACAUUUUCAUGCGUGUGAUGGCCAAACAAAUCGCCAUUAUAUACAUUAUUAGUCCUGAAUGUAACAUUGGAUAAUUAUUUAUUUGAAGUACUGUUUAUGGGUGGGAGUGUGUGUAGUAUCUUUGCGUCAAUUUUCUUUUAAAAUAUUUUGGAAAGCUUGGCUCCAAAAACAUCUUAUGACACACAAGGGAUAGAGUACUUUUUUCAUAUAUAUAUAUAUUUUUUUAAUAAUAAGUAUUAUCACUCUUCCUUGCUCCCUGGGGAAAGUCAGCACAAACACAGUUUGACUAUGUCUAAUAAAGGAAGGUUUCCAACUCCUUUAUAACUGUUGGUAAACUGAUCGGACAGAAAUGGUCAAUAUGUCUUUUCUGAUAUGGCAGAUCCAACAGCAAUUGCUCAGAUGAACCAAAUCCCCUAUUCCACUGAUAGCCUAUGCGGGUGAUGACCCAUUUGGGCACUCUGGAUUCUUCUCAUCUAUACUAUUACAGCCAGGUAGCUGAGUGAGCAUCUUUCAAAAUAUAGUUUAUUAAAGAUCAACCAUCACUUGGAUUGUGCUCAAUCCGUAAAAUAUAUUCAAAUGAUUACUAAAAUGUAAUUCGUAAAGAUCAUUUAAUGAAAUUGACUCUACAUCACCCAUAAUGUCUUUACUUUUGUUUGCAGAAAAGUGACAACAAUGCAAAGUUUUAAGUAGCUCCAUGUGUACAAUUAGGUGAAACUUCAUUCAAGCGUCAAGCACACAUCAAUACGGGUAUUAUUUUUUUAAAUGGUAAAAACUACCAUUAAGCUACAUAUUUUUCGAUUUCACGUGUAAAACUUUUGUUACUGAGAGAACAUUUGAUUGAAGCAUUUAACCUCCUUAUACUUUACUUCUGUUUCCCAAACAAUGGCUACAUAAUUACAUCUCAAACAAAGAUCAGAGCAGAAAGAAUAAUUUACCUGUACUUGUAGGGGGUUGUGUAUAGUUUCAUGAGGUAAAGACACUGGUUACUGUAUGUUAAGAUAAUUAGUUUGCCAUGGAAACAGACUUCAAUAUGAACAGUGUUAUGAACAGUGACUAGUUUGACACCCUGUCCCAGACAACUCUGUAUUCUGUUGCAUUCUCUUUACUGUAAAAUAACUUCUCAUUAGAGAAGCAGGCUGACUCAGUGGAGUAAUAUAUAAAACCACAGACCCAAUCCUAAAAUAUGUCCAAAUAAAAUAUAAUUUAAAAAAAUAUUCCACGAACAUGGAUAUUAAAGUAUACUUAUGAACCAUGGACUUGGUGGCCAAUGCACAUAGAUUGAAAGUUAUUCCUAUGUUAGUUUUAAUUUCUCCAUCCAAAUAAAUGGCAUCCAGUGAAGCCACUUGUAGAACCCCUCCUCUAAUUAUUGCCAUAAGUACAUGGAUAGUCUUGUUAUGCACCAUUCCAAAAGAGAUCUCAAUUAAUGUUAAUGUCAGGCCAAACAUGUCUUAUGUUAAGAAUGCUCUUCUGUGACUCUGUCAACAAUUAUCAAAUGCAGAAUAGCCAAUGGGAGCUCUGUCAGGUCAAGGUCAGCGGGCACUUGAUAGGUGACUUGAAAAUAUUCAGUUGUCACUAUGCUAUUGCUAGUCUUUGCAAUCUGAAGAGCCUAAUUAGCCAAUAUACAAUAGCUUCAAUUAUUAUAGUUGUUCCAUUUUAUGCUUAAAAAGUCAGUUUUUAGUUGAUUGUAAUGCAGCAGACUUCAAAAGCAGAUAUGUGCUGUAUGCUGAACAUGACUGUGCAUCAAUAUCAGAUGGGCAGUAUUGCUGAGGAAAGCAGGAGCUUUCACACACCUUACUUCCCAUCACAGCCAGGGCCUUCUCAAGAGCAUUGAACAUACAUAAACUAAAAUAAUAUCUCAUGGAUUACAUUAAAAUGUAAAAUUAGGAGAUACUCAUUGGGAGAUAUUUAUCAUAGUGUUGAAUUUAAAAAUGGUGCAAUGUGCCUUCUGGUUCCAAUGGUUUCAGAACAUGACACUUUCAUAACCCCAAGUUUCUUAAAUUAAAUGUAUUUACUAUAAGCUAAACAAAUGUGUUCUCCUUAAUUUGCAUCAUAUAAGGCAUGAAUAACAUUUUGAAGUAAUGAUCAGUUAUUUUUUAAUAAAAUAGGCCCUUCAGCUGUAAAGGCUGCCAGCAAGCAUAGCAUGAAUAAAUAAUAAUAAAAUUAGUAGUGAAAUCACAAACCCUCUUGAUAAAUAGGAGGGAGAUCGGCACCUCACUCUCCCUUCAUUACAUGGGCAAGACGCAAGUGUAAAUAAGUUUAGGGUCUCAAUUAUCUGUAGUGAAAGGAAGAUCCUGGCCCUCUAACCAUGCACAAUGGUAGAGGAAGGAGCCAAUCCUCAAGCCCAUAGCCAGGGACAGUGGUAGGUGAUGGGACCAUGACCCUCUGGCUUACUUUAUAGUGUAGCCCUAAGGAAAAGUCUAGGGAAUUGACUUUCCUGCCUACAGUUUCUACACAACAUGAGAAAACAUGACUAAACAUGAUAUCCCCUCACUAUCCUCAUCGUGAAAAUGUAAGGGAAAUAGUGAAAUAUCAAUAAGUCGGUUAAGUAGAAGAGGGUUUGGAGAGACACAUGAGUGGCAGGGUGCAGGAUGGAGAGCAACACGAGGGCACACAAUUGGCUGGUUAGAAGAAGGAGGAAACGUGGAUGGGAUGGGGCAGAGAGGAACGAGUGAAAACAAUGUUGUACCAGUGGGAAGAAGGCCAAUCCCUAUAUUGUGUCAAAUGUCUCUGUUCGUCUUUUCAAUCCGAAUAUUUCCCUUUUCCAGGAACUCCAAAAUUUUCAAAUGCAGGACUAUAACAGAGUUUCACAGAAAAAAAAUGCACCCAUCAUACAACACUACCCCUUUGCAUUGCAUGCCCCAAGGGACAAUACCUAGUAAUGUUUUGAAUUGUAAUGUUGCCAAGACUUCUUCCCAGUUGAUGUUAUUUACCUCUACAUGUCCUCCUCAAUCCUGAGCCAUGCAUUAAUCAAUAUGUCAAUCUUACAAAAAAAAAAUUCUCCCUUAUUGUCUCUUGUCGACCUUUUUUUUGUCUUGUAUUAAAACCUUUAUAAACAAAAAUAGAUAUAUAAUACAUGCAAUUUUAUAUUAGUUAUAAAAUAUGCUGGCCAAUAUGUUCCAAAACAUUAACACAAAAAAUAUAAUGCAAAAAUGUAAUGCAAUUUGUAAAUUUCUUUCACCUACAGUUCAUUUAGUUUAAUUGAAAUCUGAACUAAUCGAACACAUGAAAAACUAACAUUUGUGCAGUGCAAAGUGUUCAACAAACAAAAAAGUGGUAAAUGCUACCACCUCUGGCCAAAAUAGAAAUAUUUACAAAGAUAGAAAGUCCUGAUCUGCUACAAACAUGGUGUUACCCUCUAUAACAAGCACAAACUAACAGUUUUCAAAAGAUAUAUUUUAUUUUUUACUAUUUUAUGCUUGAAGCCUGACUUCACUUUCAAAUUGCGUUCUUAAAACUAAAGUAAAAAAGUUAAAAUAAAAACACCUCAUUGUGUUAAACAAAACCUUUUAUAUUAAUAAUAGGCAAACUAACUUAGAAGCCUUUUGAAUGGAUUUUUACAUGGGACCUGAGAAGGGAGAGCUGAAAUAAGCAGUACUUACACAUACAAGAUUCUGAUGAAAUGUAUGUCAACAGGGAGGUUUAUUCUACUGGGGCAAAGUAUAGAGACAUAAUAAAUAUUUAGCUGAUAUUUGCCAAUUCAAUAAAACAUGGAAAUAUGAGAGCCCAGUAAAGAAAUAUUUGACUCAAAAUAUUAACUAAUUGAGAGGAAAAGGAAUGGAAAGAAAAUUAAUCUUUGAAUAGAGGUCCAAGAAGACUUUUAACAAAUAUACAAGUGCACCGGGCAAGGCAUUAACUUUUUAUAUAGACUAAAUUCUGGCUCUGUGAUAGCUGCUAUUAACAAACAAGGGGGAGAGCUAGCAUAUGUUAGUAAAUAAAUGACUCUGGGAAAAGGCUUUUGUCAUUUAACCCCUUAAGGACGGAGCCAAAUGUACACGUUGUGAACAAAACAAAAUGUAAACAAAACCUGGCAUUUGCGCUACAUGUCUGUCCAACCGUAAUACACCUCUUUCAUAUUAAAUACACCCACCCUUAUUAUAUAUCAUUUUAUUCAGGGGAAACAGGGCUUUCAUUUAAUAUCAAAUAUUUAGCUAUGAAACAUAAUUUAAUAUGAAAAAAAUGGGAGAAAAUAAGAUUUUGUUUGAUUUUUUUAGUUCUACAUGACAUUUUAAUGGUCAAUGUCAUUAUACUGUUUGCUUUUACUGCAAUAAAAUACACAUAUUUGUAUUCAGUGAAGUCUCACGUGUAAGACAGUACCCCCUAUGUACAGGUUUUAUGGCGUUUUGGGAAGUUACAGGGUCAAAUAUAGCACCUUACAUUUGAAAUUGAAAUUCGCCAGAUUGGUUACGUUGCCUUUGAGACUGUAUAGUAGCCCAGGAAUGAAAUUUACACCCAUAAUGGCAUAUCAUUUGCAAUAGUAGACAUCCCAAGGUAUUGCAAAUUGGGUAUGUCCAGUCUUUUUUAGUAGCCACUUAGUCACAAACCCUGGCCAAAAUUUGCGUUCAUAUUAGUUUUCCCAUUUAAAAAAAAACAAAACAAAAUGCCCUUUCACUGAUGAUAUCAAUGUCAUUAUAAGUUUUACUGCUCUAAACCACUCAUAUUUGUGUUCAACGAUGUGUCAGGAGUAAAACAGUACCCUCCUGUGAAGGUUUUAUGGGCUUUUGGAAAGUUACAGGGUCAAAUUUCUGUUUCCAGAUUGGUUAGGUGGCCUAUGCUGCUUUUGAGACUAUAUGGCAGCUCACAGAGGAGAAUUACCCCAUCAUGGCAUACCAUUCAUAAAAGUAGACAAACCAGGGUAUUUAGAAUGGAGUAAGUCUGGUCUUUUGUAGUAUCCCUUUAGUCACAAACCCUGGCCAAAGUUAGCGUUCAUAAUUGUGUUUUAUUUUAUUUUUCACACAAAAACUGCACUUUUACUGAUGAUAUCAUCAUCAUUACAAAUUGUAGUGUUCUAAACACACACAUUUGUGUUCAUAGAAGUCUGAUGAGUACAACAGUACCCCAUAUGUACAGGUUUUGUGGGGUUUUGGAACGUUUUCAGGGACAAAUAUAGGGCUUUCCCAAUUCUGUUUGUCUGAUUGGUUUACUGGGCUUAUGCUGCCUUUGAGACCAUAUGGCAGCCCAGGAAUGAGAAUUACCCCUAUAAUGGCAUUCUAUUUAUCAAAGUAUACAACCCACGGUAUUCAGAAUUGGGUAAGUUUGGUCUUUUGUAGUAGCCAUUUAGUAACAAAUCGUAGCCAAAGUUAGAUUUCCUUUUUUUUUGUUGCAUUUUUCACACAAAAGCUGCUCUGUUACUGAUGAUAUCAUCAUCAUUACAAGUUUUAGUGUUCUAAAGCACACAUAUUUGUGUUUAACGAAGUCUCACGUGUGUAUGUAUGGUACAAGUUUUAUGGUGUUUUGGAAAGUUACAGGGUUAAAUAUAGGGCUUGAUUUUCUGCCUGGGUUGUCAGGCAGGUCCAUUGAGUUAUAAUUAAUAAAAUAAAUUAAUUAUGUAAAAAUAGUAGAUAAAUAAAUAAACACGCCACUACUCCAUACUAAUUCUUCUUGAUCUCUCUGCUGCCUUUGACACUGUUGAUCAUGCUCUCCUUCUUCAAACUCUUCAAUCACUCGGUCUCCGUGACUCUGUCCUCUCGUGGUUUUCCUCUAAUCUCUCCCAAUGCUCAUUCAGUGUCUCAUUUUCUAAUGAUACCUCCUCCCUGUUACGCUACUUGGGUGAUUUGGAUUGGAACUCAACUGCAGCUUGUAAAACUCCCUAAUUACAAUUGUGAAGAAAUGGAGAAUCUUUAAAGUAUCAAUACUGUAGCUUUAAGAAAAGAGAGAAUCACUGGUAACUUGAAUCAACCAAAGUUUUAAUAAGUGUUAAACUUAAAUGAAUUGCAUUUAGGCAAUAAUCCAAUAAGAAGAAGUGCAAGUAAUCAACAACACAAAGUUCAUUAUUAAGUAUUUCCUCAGAGAUGCAUUAAGUAACAUUCUUUAAGAUCAUGAGAAUAAUCUUCAAUAGAACAAUAAGCAAGUAGCUGAGAAUAUUUGCAAAGCAGGAACAGUUCAUAGUUAAUAAGCAUGAUGGGAGUUGUCCUCCAUAUAAUUAGUAGCUUGAAACAUUGAGUGUCUUUGCAAAGCAAGAAACAGUUCAUAGUGAAUAAGCAUGAUGGGAGUUGUCCUCCAUAUAAUUAAUAGCUUGAAGCAGUGAAGAUUUGAGUAAGCAAGCUUUAGUUCAUUAUUAAAUGAUAUUGUAGACAAAUAGAUGAAAGAUAUACUCAAGGUUAAUAUGUGUAGUCCCCCAAUAGUUCAGAGAUAUGGUCCACUUGUAAAGUAGCAAAGUAUCUGUUCUCAAGUAAUCCUUUAUGGCAUGCAGCAAUCCUUGCAUUGGCUCAAAGGCUGGAACGGCUUGUCUGACCUUGUGGAGAGGUAAGUCUGGUGGAAGUUGUUCCCAGUAGCUGAGCCUGUGGAGCCCAAGGAGGCAGCUCACACAUUAGCUCCCACACAAUCACCAAGCACCCUCUCUCUGGCCCAGUCUCCCUAAAUACCAUCAGAGCUGUGUCAGAGGGGGGCGGGGUCCGGCUCCUCACAGCUGAGUGCUGAACCCGGAAGUGUUACUCCAUGACACUCCCCUUGUCCUCAGUCCUCAAUCCUCAGUUGGCAUCCCACAUAGCUCUGUUCUUGGUCCACUUCUAUUUUCUCUUUUAACAGCCUCUCUUGGCAAACUUAUUACCUCAUUUGGAUUCCACUACCACCUGUACACUGAUGACACCUAGAUAUAUCUCUCCUCCCCGGACCUCUCCCUUGCCGUCCUGCAAUGUGCCACUGCUUGCCUGUCUUCCAUCUCUGAUUGGAUGUCCUCCCGCUUUCUGAAACUAAAUCUCUCUAAAACUGAGCUCCUUCUCUGUCCUCCUCUUAAUACUGAUCCUCCUCCCCCUGCAUUAAGUUAGUGGUAUCCACAUAAGUCCAUCCUUGCAAGUGCGCUGUCUUUCUUACGCAAGAUGCUACCAAGGAGCUUGUCCAUGCUCUAGUAAUUUCCUGCAUGGAUUAUUGUAACCCUCUCCUAGUUGGUCUUCCUAAAAGCCGUAUUGCCCCGGUACAGUCUGUAAUGAAUGCUGCCGCCAGACUGAUUUUCCUCUCUAGUCGGUCCUCUCACAUCUCACCCCUCAGUCAGUCCUUACAUUGGCUUCCUGUAUGCUGUAGGAGUCAAUUCAAAGUGCUUACACAUACCUAUAAAGCACUGAACAAUUAUAACCCUUCUUAUAUCUCUUCACAGAUCCAUAGGUAUGCCCUUUCUCGGUCUCUCCGAUGUGCCCGUGACUUUCUCCUGACCGCUGCUCGCAUUCGUAUGGCCAACUCACGGUUGCAGGAUUUCUUGCGGGCGGCUCCCUUCCUAUGGAAUAGCCUGAACUGAAGCACUGAACAGUUCUAGCCCUUCUUAUAUCUCUUCACAGAUCCAUAGGUAUGCCCAUUCUCGGUCUCUCCGCUCUGCCUGUGACCUUCUCCUGUCCGCUGCUCACAUUCGUACGGCCAACUCACACUUGCAGGACUUCUUGUGGGCGUCUAUUUUCCUAUGGAAUAGCCUGCUCACCGCCAUCAGACUCUCCCUUGGUCUUCAAUCAUUUAAGAAGUGCCAUAAAACCCAUCUCUUUAGGAAAGCUUAUGGCCUCCCAGAGUAACCUCUACCUCACAUACCUGUCUCUUGCUCUCUCCUAAAGGGAAGCACAUUACUCUCUCCACCAUCUCUGCUUCACUCCCAUCUUAUUUGAUUGCUAUUUCCUGUCUUCAUGUGCUUCAUACCCCACCUCCUAUAGACUGUAAGCUCGUUUGAGCAAGGUCCUCAUCAACCUAUCGUUCCUGUAAAUUUUCUUGUAAUUAUCCUGUUUAUAGUUAAUUCUCCCCUCUCAUAAUAUUGUAAAGCACUAUGGAAUCUGUUGGCGCUAUAUAAAUGGUAAUAAUAAUUAAUAAUAAUAAUAACAACUUAAUUCUAAGUGUAUUUUGGUAUUAAUAUAUAGAUUAAUACCAAAAUACACUUAUUGUUAAAUUAUAUAUGUAUAACAUAUGUGUAGAUUGGAUUAGCCGUAUUAGUCCAGUAGACAAGAUGCCAAAAUACCAAAGUAUUGCAGUAUGCAAUGUGUAGCAGGCCCUGGGGUACCUGACUGGCUACACCCACUAUAAAUUAACUAAGAGACCCAUCUUCCCCAGUAACUGGACGACACACAGUUCCAGGGUUACAACAACAACUUUAUUGGCCACACUCAGCUUUAUACUUUCACUAUGCAAGGGGUGGAUCACUCAUACAGAAAGAGGACGGAUGACGGAACUGGACCCUAAUCCCAUUGUCCCUUGUUCCUGCCACUCAGUAUCCCUUCCCAGAGUCCUCCCCCUCCCAGGGGCCUGUGCAUGUGACAGGAACCCCAGUUCCUUUGUUCUCAGUUCCCGCUACCCAAAUUCAGGGUUUCCCACUUCCCGUGGAACUCCCAAGCACAGAAAGCCAGCCAAACCGCCACUGUACCCAAAGAGUGUCCCCAGCAAUCUCAGGGACACCCAGAACGACAGCCGCCACAAACUGCCUCCAUUCGUGGUGUCCCUGGGUGGAACCAAGCCGGGAAGCAUCUCCUUUCGGGUCAAGAAUGCUCCCCCUGGCCGCCAUUCAUCUAUAAGAACGGCCGCCGCCCAGGGAAGCACUCUUCACACUUCUGUUGCAAGUUGCCAACGUUUUAAUUGAUUUAUGUGAACAUUCCAAGGGGCACUGGGUAGGUCCUCGUUCUGUUCCCGAAUUAACAAAUGCUCCCCCUAGCAGCUUGUGGUGUGCGGUUUUGUGAACGUUCUAAGACAACAUUCUAAAUGAGGUUUACACACACAUCUUUAUGUUUUAUAUAGUUCUUUUGCAAUAUUCUCAUUUCACCUUUAUUGGAUCAAUUUAUAUACAUACAUAUUUGCAACUAUAUACUUGCAUGCCCUGCUCUGCUCUGCUGUUUUCUUGUUUUGUUGUGCUUUCAUUAUUUAACUAGCUUAUUGACUCUGCUUUGUUAAUUUACUUUUCCUGGCUAUUCUCAGCCAACCUGAACCUUUCACUUUUAGGCACAUCUUCUGCUAUCUAUGACACCUUACUCGCACCCCUCCCUCCCCUUCUGUAGCAUUAGUUGUUUUAAGUGUUGCUUCAAACCUGAGGAAGAGAGGAAAACUCUCGAAAGCUUUUCUUUGAAAUAUUAUGUUAGUCCAAUAAAAAAAUGUAUCAUUGCAUAGUGCAAUAUUCUGGUAUUUUGGAAUAUUAUAUAUGAAUUACAUAUGUAUCAGAUUAUUUAAUUAAUUUACAAUAUAUUUUACAUGUAUAAUAUACUGUGUUAGUGUGUGAUUUUAGCUUUUCUUUAUUUUUCAGGCACUAGGGGGACUGCCUAAACACCCAGGCAGUCUCCCUGCAGGCAGUCUCAUAGACUGCUUUGCGGCCUUGUGAUGGCGACGUCCAUCGCCAUUACAUGGCCCUGGAGGGCUGAAAUGGAAGUAGGGGGACUGCCUGUCUUGAGUGGCAGUUCGCCCCCGGACUGGGAUUGCCAUGGAUCGCCGGUCCAGGUAAAUCUGCAGGACAGGGGAGUUCACGAUCUUUAGGGCAUAGUAUGCCACCCUAACAGCAUUUAGGCUAUCUAAAUUCAGGGGGUCAUAGUACGCCGCAUUGGCGUUAAGUGGUUAAUAAUAGGAAAAUCUUGUAAUGUACAUCCACUUAAAUAGGACUCUCCAUUGCCCAAAUACAAAAGAAAAUGAAAAUCACUAUCUAGUCAAUGAAAGCAUGCAUGCAUAUAUUUUUGCCUUUUAUAAUUAGGUGUAUAUCUAAAACAGCUUGCAAAAGAUGCAGAUCUCUGGGCUGAAGUGUUUGCAAACCCUCCUUUUCUAACCUGGCUGUCUAUUUACUGACUUCCCAAUGCAGCUCAAUGUCUUUGCAAGUCUUUGCAAGACAGGUGCUUUAAACAAUUGCUGCCUCUUGAGUUUAUCUUCACUGAGCUAAACAAACCAGGAAGUAACAGAGCCUGUUUUCUGAUUGACAGCCGGAGAGGUGUAACCAGGUUAAUUUAUAAAUGUACCAAUUUAUAUUGGAAUUUUUGUUUAAGCUAAAGUGCUUUAGGUGUUUGGAGAGUCCCUUUAACCCCUUAACGCGGUUACGGCGUUCUAUGCCGUCCCCAUUUAAAUGGGCUUUAAAGCCGUUGCGGCGGCACAGAACGCUGUAUCGGCUUUCUGCUCCAGGAGCUCGGUGGCACUUACCUCCACCGCUAUCCUCUUCGGGAGGACUGUCUGACAGUCCAGGCAGCCCUCCCCCCGCAAAUCUGGCCCCCUAUAACUGGCUGUGGAUCUGUCAGCAGGGGGACUGUCUGAAAUGUCAGACAGUCCCCCUGCUGGUGGGAAGUAUAAAAAAAAUUUAAUUAGACAUGUUUAAAAUAAAUUACAAGUAUAUAUAUAUAUAUAUAUAUAUAUAUAUAUAAUACUUAGAAUGAUGUUACAUAUAUAUAAGAUAUGUAUAUAUAUAUAUAUAUAUAUUAUAUAUAUAUAAUACAUCUAUAUAUAUUUUAUAUUGAUAUAUACACGUAUAAUUACAAUUUUAAAUAAAUAUAAUAAUAAAUUUAAAUAAAUAAAAUAUUUUUUAAAAAUUAAAAUAAAUUAUAUAUACAUAUGUAAUUUCAUUCUAACUGUAUUUUGUAAUAUAUAUAUAUAUAUAUAUAUAUAUAUAUAUAUAUAUAUAUGGAUAACAAAAUACACUUAGAAUGACAUUCUAUAUCUAUCUAUAUAUAAAAUACAAAUAACCGCAAAUAUAUAUAUAUAUAUAUAUAUAUAUAUAUAUAUAUAUAUACAGAUAAAUAUAUAUAAUUACAUAUAUAACUACAAAAGUGUACACGUAGACUUUAAAUACAUAUAUAUGUAUAUAUAUUAAAAUUCUACGUGUAUAUUUAAGUACUAUUUUAACAUAAUUAUGUGGUUUAAUUAAUUAAAUUUUGAUUGACAUGCCUGACAACCCAGGCAGAAAGUGCAGAGAAUUUGAAUUUAAUAUAAAACCUGUACAUGGGGGGUACUGUUUUACUCUGGAGACUUCGUUGAACACAAAUAUUAGUGUUUCAAAAUGGUAACUUGUAUUACAACAAUUAUAUUUUUAGUAAAAGGUGAUGUUAUUUGCAUUUUUCACACACAAACGGCACUUUUACUGACGAUAUUAUUGUUGUAAUAUGUUUUACUGUUUUAAAACACUUAUUUUUGUGUUCAGUAAAGUCUCCCAAGUAUAACAUUACCUCCCAUGUACAGUUUUUAUGGUGUUUUGGAAAGUUAGAGAAUCAAAUAUAAGGCUUGCAUUUCAUUUUUUUCACAUUGAAAUUUGCCAGAUUAGUUAUUGUAACGGAUCGCCUGGCACCCCGACUGGGUACCUCUGUUGAAGGAUGCUCCUAGCACUUCCUGAGGACUCUAAGCACUGCAGCAGACACCACAACCACCGAACCGGAGAAGCAUAUGAAUCCUCUCAAGCAUAUGAAUGCUGUAGACAGUUGAAUAGGAACCAUACGAAUAGGUUUACUCUCCUAGCAGUCAAACUGGAACAGCAUACAAUAAAUCCUUCCCCCAAUAAUGAGACGACACUUCAUUUUGAGGGUUAAGCAGGAACUCCCUGUACUGUCACAUACAGUCUCUUUUAUUCCCAAUCCACAAACAUAGUACAGCCCACAGGGCGUUACAAAACAACCAAUCAGUCUGUAUAAUACACCCAGACACUCCCACACAAAAUCCUCCCCUCUGCAUGUGAUAUGAUUACUGAACACAAUGGGUAAUCUCAUUAUCACCGGCAGAGGAAUACAGUUUUUACACAAUAUUUAUAACUUCUAAAAUAUACAUGUCACAAACAUAAAACAUACAUUUUCAUAAUCAAUCCAUUCAGGGGAACAACAUAUUAAAAAAUGGCACGAAUCAGACCAGGGGUUCAAAAGUUAAGGGAAAGUCCUUUGUGACUAAAUGAAGCAUGGCUUUCCGGCCCAAACCAGUUUCAGAGUCUUCUGUCCUGGAGAUAAGUAAUUCAAUUAUCUCCCAGGACAGACACAAGACUCCAUUAAGCACAUGGUUGCAAAAAGACACAAAACACUUUAAAAUACAUAAAGUCACCUUUUACACAUAAGACACAGACAUUUCACAUAUCCCCAGAUAGCUGGGAUCUGAGCGCACAAAACUACCGAAUAGCGCUCAGAUCCUAUUCACACAGUUCAAUUGCCAUGGAGCCGAAGUCUUUAACUACACGAAUGGGCUCCAUGGCAUAGCUAUCUGGGUUAACACAUUCACAUAAAGUCUGGUCCAUAGUCCAAAGGCAAGAGGCGGGCAAGCAGCCCCCUCCAAGGACACGUGGCGAGGCCGGUUUCGCCACAGUUAUGUUGCCUUUUGAGACCGUAUGGUAGCCCAGGAAAAAGAAUUACCCCCAUGAUGGUGUACCAUUUGCAAAAGUAGACAACCCAAGGUAUUGCAAAUGGGGUUUGUCCAGUCAUUUUUAGUAGCCACUUAGUCACAAAUACUGGCCAAAUAUUUGUGUUUUCCUUUUUUCACACAAAAACAAAUAUGAAUGCUAACUUUGGCCAGUGUUUGUGACUACUACAAAAGACUGGACAUACCCCACUUGCAAUACCUUGGGUAGUCUACUUUUGCAAAUGGUAUGCCAUCAUGGGAGUAAAUCUCAUUCCUGGGCUACCACACGGUCUCAAAGGUAACAUUACUAAUCUGGCAAAUUUCAAUAAAACACAGUUAUUUCUAAAACACAGUAAAAACUGUUAAUGGGGGCUACUGUUGUACUUAUGAGACUUUGCUGAAUCCAAAUAUGUGCUUGUUUGCAGUAAAAGCUAACAGUAUUGUGACAUUUUCAGCUAAAAUGUGAGGCGGAACUACAAAAUUAAAAAAAAAUGUUUACAUUUCUCACAGUUUUUUGUAGUUUAUUCAUAAUAAAUUAUGUUUCAUAUAUAAAUAUUUGAUAUGAAAUGAAAGCCCUGUUUCUCCUGAACAAACUGAUAUAUAAUAACUGCACUUAAUAUGAAAGAGGUGAAUUACGGUUGAACAGACAUAUAGUGCAAAUUCUAGUUUUUGUUUACAUUUUGUUUUGAUCAGAACGUGUACUAUUGACUCCGUCCUGACGGGGUUAAAUCAGUUUAGCUAAGGUUUGGCUUGCAAGUCUGCUUCAAAGUAUUUUAUAUUUUCAAACUUUUGUAUCAGGUACUGGAUGAAUAGAGAGAGACAGAGUGAGUUUAUAAUGUAGGUGGAGCCAAAUCUUGUAGUAGUUUGUUUUGGAUGCAGUAUGCUCUGCCUACUGUAGACAUUCAGGAUCAUAAACAUGAAAGAUCCCAAUCUCUUAAUACCACUGCAUAAAUACAGGCAAGUUAAUCCGUUUCAGCAGUGUAUGGCAUAUGCACAGUGUUCCUGUUGAUUGAAAUGGUUGAGAAAUACCAGCAUUCUCCUGGUACCUGCUGAAUCAGCAAUUCACAGAAUUUUUUGUGAAUUGUUUCCACAAUGCACUAUAAAAUAGGGUGGAAGUGUUGCUUUAUGUGUUGAGGUGCAGUUUUGAAAUGAAAUUAUGAUAAAUCUGCUAACCUUAAUGUUGAUCUUAGCAGAUAAUCAACAUUCAUACAUGUGAUAUACAUAUCUUCGGACUUUCAUUACUUUCAUUAGUCCCUGGCCUUAUCUUAUAGUUAAUUCUAACUCUAAUGGGCCAAGCAGCGUACUGCAAAAUAUGUACAUAAUAUAAUUAAAUAACAUAUAUUUUACACUACACUGAUUGACUCGAGUGAGAAAGAAAAAGGGGGCAGGCAAGUUUCGACCAACAGAGGUUUGACUUUUCCAAAUUUCUUUAACAAAAAAAGAUUUGGGAAACAUAAAACAAACUAAACGGGCAAGAAAAUAGGCCAAUUGCUGUACUGAAAAUGAUAUAGAUAGUAUAAAUAUUCUGUAUAUAUUUUGCAGUACACUGAUUGGUGCAUUUUCCAACCAUUUAGCUCUUAGAUCAAGUUAGAAAAUAUAUCCAAUAGAGGGAAAAGAGGAAGAGGGAAAAGAGGAAGAGGCCUUAUAAUAAGCUAUGUUUAGAUAUUUUUAUAUCUCAUAUUUAUUAAAUAUAUAUUCUAUAAAUUUAGAUUUUUUUUUGUAAUGUUCUUCCCUUUUUUCCUCUGUUGGUCAUUUCUCACUUAAUCUGUGAAUAAAAUCAACUUUUGGUGGUUGUUCUAUAGACAUCUAUUAUCUUUGACCCCAUCAGUCAUCUCUUUACUUGGUGCCAUAAGUGGAACUCCGAAUCCUGAAGCAAACUAACAUGCUUGUCCAACAAGGUAACUAUGUGCUCAGUUAUAUGUCCAUAUGGCGUACAGAAUCAAGUCGAACAGCCUAUCCAUUUAAAUUCAGAUGAAUUGCAAAUCAGCAGAAACCAAAUUCAUAAGUCUAUCAGUUAUAUCAUAUGUCUAUCAUGCUGACGCCAAUAACAUGUGAAGCCUGCAUGAGCAGGUUGAUCCUUUUCUACCAUUCAGUUGCGGUUGCUCUAAAGAUGUUGAUGUUAAGACAUUUAUGGUAUCUGUAGGUGGCAAACGCUAGUAGUGGUAAUUGUAAAGCCAUCGAUAUUAUUUGGUUGCAAAUAUCUCCAAUAGGCGGAUAUCUAAUGCCAUCAUUGAAAAUGAUUGUUAUGUUAUAUUUUACAAUAUUAGGUACACAAAAAUUGACAGCCAAUAAGCCAUAAAUUACCAUUAUGUGUUUAUAUCACAAAGAUGUAUUUGUAAUAUAAAGAUAUAUGGAAAAAAAAGUUUCUGCUGUGCAGUUCAUCCUAGAUUAUUCCAAGACAUUUAACUACACAUAUGAAUUUGACUAUAAUAAUAAUAAAACAUGUAUACAUUCACUAAUUAACAAAUAAAUGAAUAUUCUACAACAUGAUGUGCCAGAGUAAUUUGUUCUGUAUAAUAAGGUACGGAAUCUACUGGACAAAUAUUAAAAAUAAUGAAAAUAAGAACUAAUCUUAAAGUCUAUAUUUGUUGGUGCUGACUAAUUCACUACUUUUCUCUUCCAAGCAGUGAUCUUGGGCAAGCAAUUCAAUAUUUGUGACCGGUGUAAAGAUAUAAUGUUCCUUCCCUUGUUCUGUAAUCAAGGAUCGAUAAAAUAUCCAGUAACUCAGCACAGUACUGCAAUACACAUGAUCACAUCUCAAUCACAAAACAAGUAACAUUUUGGUCAAUAGACAUUAUUGCACUUUUUGUCCAAUUAAUGACAAAUAGUACACUUCAAUGCACACCAUGUGACAGGUAACAAUGUCUGUUACCAUAACAACCACUAGAACUAAAAACAAUUAAAAUCAACAACCACAUGUUAAAAGCGACUUGAGGGAAAAGGUUGUCACAUUUGCAAUUACAUUUUUGUAUCCAAUUCCUUUUAUAUAUAAUUAUUCUUCUAUAUAUCAUGCUACCAUAGAUAGAUAGAUACCGUAUAUAGACAGAUAUGUAGAUAGAUACAUGACAGAUAGAUAAACCGAUAGAUAGACAGACAGACAGAUAGAUAGAUACAGGGCUCAAGUCCUGCAGGAACGCGUGGGAACUGUGUUCCUGCACUUUUUUUACAGCAGGAACGCCGUUCCCGUUGCUACUGCAGGCACUAAGGGGGCAGCAAAAAAUGCCGCCCCCAAAUGCCCCCUAUGUUCCCUCUGUCAUGGGGGGGCCCCAAGAGGUGGCCUGAUGGCCACCUAAUGGACCCCCCCCCCAGCGGGGGUCUGUCUCCCUGUCAAACACUGCUCCCUCGUGCGCCGUUUGCUGAUGACAUCAUAUUCCAUCUCCCAGCAUCAGUAGACAGCGCGCACGCGGAAAGGGAGCAGAGCUGGGAGAACACAGCUCCCUCGCCACGUCUGACAGGGAGACAGGCGCCCGCCGCACUGAAGCCCAACUGGACCCCAAGGAGAGGUCCACGCCAGCUCUCCAGGUAGGGAGGUUGGGUGGACAUUUUUAAAUUUAAAAAAAUAAUUUGUGUGUGUGUGUGUGUGUGUGUCUGUGAGUGAAUGACUGGAGUAGAGUAGGCACUUCUGAAAGGUGUGUGAUAGAAUAGAUUUAGCAGCUUUUUUCCUACUUGUAGGAAUUUUUUUGUUCUUGAAGUAGUUGAGUAACCCUCCAGAAGGACCGCCUGGAUGGUCUGCCUGGAUAGAUCUCUGAUAUGGAGGUAGAUCUCCUUGAUGUCCCCAUGAAGUAUCCACACAAAUUUAAUGAGGACAUCUCUGGGUGCCUCUUUUGGGGUUUUAAUGGACCUAGAAAGCAAAAGCAGCAAUGUGUCAGUUUAACCUGUUUAGGGGACAGUAUGGUGAAAAUGAGUCUGUGAACAUAAUGAGGAAGCUCUCAUUGGUAAUGGCCUCAGGGAUCCCACUUUCCCCCAAACCUGGCUUUCACUUUUGGACCUUGGAACCUGAUGCAUAAAAGUCUCUUUCUCAACGAAGCCUGGGAGUGCAGGGCUUAGUUCAUUGGCUGAGAGCCUAAUGCUCUUAGUCAAUAAGAUGGCCAUCCACUGCAGGGUUUAGCUCAGGAGAGCUACCGUUUUUAGAUUGUAAGCUAUUUAGGCACGGCCCUCUUCACCUACUAUUUCCAUAUUAAAAUUAGUUUUGUUAGAAGCAUUAGUCUUGCUUUACCUGAUAUACAGAGAUGUGGAAUAUGUUAGCAUGAGAUAAAUAAUGUUAAUGUCUGAAAAAUGUCUAGAAAAUGUCUACAAAGAGAGAAGGCAGGAAGGGGUCCCCCCCAAAACAGUUUUGACUACUUACAAUGAGAGAGCGCCAGGACACUCACUCCUAGUGCCAUAAACACUACAACAAGCUUUAGGGGUAUGGUACUUGAAGUGUAUUUUUAAAAUAUGAUUGAAAGAGAGAAUUGAUUUGAGCAUUGUGACAGGAGAAAGAUGAGAAGAGGCUAACCAACUUAUACCUUAUAUAAAAUUCUGAAUAAAUAUUGUCAUAUUUAGAUUGGCUAUGAUUAUUAUCUUGAAUCUAUACUAUGCUGCAUUAGUACACAAGAGUAUGUCUGAGUUCAUUUGAACAUGACUGAAGGUAAGUGGUUUUUGAAAAAUUUCGAAAUGCAUGCUUAAAGGAAUUCACACGCUCUUCCAACAUGAAACAGAAAGUGCCAGUUUUGAAGUUUUCCUAUCCGUACACUUCAGAGUCACUAAAAUUAUAUCUUUUUAAGUACUCAAAACUAUUAUAGAACAAAAAAAAUGAACUGCUUUAGAAUAAAAAAAAAAUGCAAAAAUUCUAAGCAGAAUAAAUAACAUAAAAGUAAGUGAUGGCGUAAUUUGAAUAGUGUAAAACUUCACUAAGGAUGGAAUGUUUGAUGGAAAUGAUAAAUUAAUGGAGUUAAUGUGUAUGCUUCAUAAUGCAAUGGUGUCAUGGAGACAUGAAAUACAUCAAAAUAUCUUUUUUUAUUUUAAACUUCUGAGUGGUUUGUUUGCUGUGUAUACAUACAUUGUGAGAGAUAAUGCUGCAUAUAAACCCUUAAGUAUUAUAACCGUUUCCAAACGAUUUCUCAUUUACAGUAAUUCUUGUAAUUUACACUUCUCAUGAGUCAUGAUUAAGAAAUAAUGUUUAAUAUUUAUAAGAUUGAGAAAAUUUGCCAACUUUCCUAUGAUGUAUUGAUGUAUUUUGUUAAAUAAUGUGUUUGCAUAUUUAUAAACACCUUGUUAGUGUGUUAAUUAAUAAACAUGUAAUGUGAUGACCUAAACUGGCAAUCCAAUUUAUUGUUUUAAAAAAAUAUAUAUACUGAUCAGCCACAACAAAAAAACCACCUUCUUAAUAUCAUGUAGGUCAUCCUGCCAAAACAGCUCUAAAGUGUCGAUGCAUGGACUCCACAAAACCUCUAAGCGUGACCUGUGGUAUCUGGUACAAAGACAUUAGCAGCAGAUCCUUUAAGUCCUGCAAGGUGUGAUGUGGGGAUCUCCAUGGAUUGGAUUUGUAGUUCCAGAACAUCCCACAGAUGAUCAAUUUGAUUGAGAACAAGAGAAUCUCGAUGCCAAGGCAACACCUUGAACUCUUUGUCAUGUUUCUCAAACCUUUCCUGAACAUUUUUUUCAGUGUGGCAGGGUACAUUAUCCUGCUGAAGCACGCCACUGAUUUUGUUAAAAAACUGAACCAAGUACUCUAAUCUGCAGGACCAAAAGGCCUAUAAAAGUCAGAAGUCAGAGGAAAUAGGAGAGAUUGUCACCAUGCAAUCAGUACUGACUAACACUAACAUGGCGGCGUUUGAAAAGUGUCACACAAAAGUGUAGCGUGGUUAAACUCAGAGAUAGAGGAACUAAACAGGAAAAUGACAAGUUGCAGAACAUGCUGUUAUUAGUGAGCAGUUUUCUACAUACCCACAGUAAUCAUAAUACAGACAGUAGAAUAUUAAAGCACUACAUACAAAUAAAAAAAUGUCACUAGUUCUAGUUUCGAAUGUCAGGUAGUAAGACCAGCCUUGUGGUGCACACCUGCAACUGGAGAUAACUUAUAAACGAUAAUACAUGAUUAAUCCUUUCUGCUUACCCCUCAAGGAAGGAAACUGACAUCUUUAUGUUGAGGGUCAAUUGCUUUUCUGGACACAUACAGGAAUUUUUACUUAUGCUGGUGGCACAGAGAUAUAAGCAGAAUUAUUUAACAGAAAAUGAAUCUACAUGUACUAGCAAUUUACUUGUCACAAUAUAGAGAUCAAAUUUCAUUCUCAAUAAAAUUAGAUGGCCAUGUCAGUAUACUUUUCUUAAUUGGUUGUGUUGAAUUGUUUAUUAACCCCUUCAGGACUGCUGACGGUUCAGGACCGUCAGCGGUAAAACGUGCGUUUGGACCGCUGACGCUCCUGAACCGUCAUAGCGAAAAAAGGGCUUCAGGAAACGAUCAAAGAUCGCCCCCGCCAGUAUAACGCUGUAACUAUCUGCCAGACAUCCCAGGCAGAUAGUAACAGCCAAUUGCGAUCGCUCACAAUUGGCUGCUGUCAAAGUGGGUGUUACAAACAGUCACUUUGACAGUCAUCUCUGCCCCUCUCUCCUCUGUAGCGUUUUGUGAGGCGAGAGAGAAAGAGAUCAUGAUAGUUUGUUGCAGCAGAAGUGUUCCAGAGCUUUAUACAGUAUCCAAAGUGAAUAAAAAAAAAAUCAUUUUAACCCCUUCCUUGCCAGAUUUUUUACAGCAGUGCAUUUGUACUGUCUGUAUAUUUUUUUUUGCCCUUAAAGGGUUAAAUUUGUUUUAAAAAACUGUGUUUUGGUCUGUCUUGGUCUGUUUUGGUCUGUCUUGGUCUGUCUUAGUCAGUCAGUUUCCUUCCCCCAAAUCUCCAUUAGAUUUUUGUGACAGGAGCUAGUUUAGGG